rnacentral:lncRNA from 1 species
UGACUGCUAAUUAUAUACAUGUUUCUUUUUUAAUUUAAGAACAUAGCAACAUAUAUAGAUUUGAUAAAAAUGCGAUGGAUUGCGAACAAACAAAAAUAAAUUUCUCAAAGUUUGUAGUCCUGCAGGCAGUUAGUGGGUGUGUGUAGUUGCCACGACGCCGAGGGCUAUGGAUGUGUACAUGUCUAGCUAUUUCUGCUGUUCAAACCCGUUUCUAGAGAAGACUUGGAGUGGAACCACGUUGACUACAAUAAUGGAAAAUGAAGGAUCUGGAGAAAACACUGAUGACCUGCUGUCUGCAGAGGUGUAUGAGGGGGUUGAUGUCUAUGGGCUUAUACCUCUGCCAUUGUCCCAUGAUCACUGUGAUGUUCUGCUGGACGCCAUAGACACGCAGCUGAGUCAUCUACAGAUCCAUAGCCAAAACCAAAUGCAUGGAGGAAACUCCAAAACAUAUGAAUUUCCUUUCUCGGGCUAUCUUGAUCGGAGUCAGUCUGUAAGUAAAGACACAGGCUUGGGGAGCACUGUUCCAACCAAUGAUAAAACACCAUCCAACCUUGGCGAGACUCAGUCAGAAGGCAAAGAUGACCAAAUAGAACAUCAGACAAUGGAGAUGAUAAAGGUUGGAGUCACAGCUACAGAUGUGUGGCGUCCUGAGGGAAGUGGCAGCUUGAGCUCCGUGUCCAGGGUAGAGCAGUGCUGUUGGAGACUCGAGAGGCUUCUUGGGAGAAAUGCUGAGGUGGCAGGGAUGGGAACUGAGGAAGACGACCUCACGAUGGACAGCAUCUGCACUGAGG